rnacentral:rRNA from 1 species
AAUGGCUGCAGUAAUUUGACUGUACAAAGGUAGCAUAAUCAUUAGUUUUUUAAUUGAAAGCUUGUAUGAAAGGUUGGACGAAAUAAAAUCUGUCUUUUUUUAAUAUAAUUAGAAUUUAAUUUUUAAGUUAAAAAGCUUAAAUUUUUAUAAAAGACGAGAAGACCCUAUAGAGUUUUAUAAUUUUGUUUAAAUAAUUAAUUUAGAUUUUUUAAUUUUAUUUUUAAGAAAUUAUUUUAUUGGGGUAAUAGAAAGAUUUAAAUAAUUCUUUUUUGGUAAAGUCAUUAAUUUAUGAAAAUUUAUGAUCCAUUAAUUUUGAUUAUAAGAUUAAAUUACCUUAGGGAUAACAGCGUAAUUUUUUUUAAGAGUUCAUAUCGAUAAAAAAGUUUGCGACCUCGAUGUUGGAUUAAAGAUUAGUUUAGGUGUAGAAGUUUAAAUUUUUGGUCUGUUCGACCAUUAAAUCUUUACAUGAUCUGAGUUCAAACCGGUGUAAGCCAGGUUGGUUUCUAUCUUUAUAAGAUUUAUAUAUUUUAGUACGAAAGGACCAAAUAUGUUAUAUAUAAAUAUUUUAUAAAUUGAAUAU